UACAGAGACUGCAAGCGUUAUUCGGAUUCAUUGGGCGUAAAGCGCGCGUAGGUGGCUUCAUAAGUCCGUUGUGAAAGUCAAAGGCUCAACCUUUGAAAGCCGAUGGAUACUGUGGAGCUAGAGUACGGAAGAGGCGAGUGGAAUUCCUGGUGUAGCGGUGGAAUGCGCAGAUAUCAGGAGGAACACCGGUGGCGAAGGCGGGUCUCUGGGCCGUAACUGACGCUGAGGAGCGAAAGCGUGGGGAGCAAACAGG
rnacentral:rRNA from 1 species